UGGUGGAGCGAUUUGUCUGCUUAAUUGCGAUAACGAACGAGACUCUGGCCUACUAACUAGAAGACAGUUUUUCGAGACUGUCAUACUUCUUAGAGGGAUAAGGGGAUUGAAGCCCCAAGAGAUUGAGCAAUAACA
rnacentral:rRNA from 1 species